GUCCUAUGUCUCUAAUCCAUUCAACUGGGAAUAAAACCUAAAGUUUUCAAAGGACAUGAGGAGGUUAGAGUUCAAAGAUACUGUGACUUCUAUGAGAAUGGUUCUAUUGUUUACUUUGACAUCCUCUUUCGGAGAGGUCUUCCUCCAACAGGUAAUUUUUCCACUAUCUCCAAUUAUAUAGUUUUGCUAGUGUCGCAGGGGUGGCUCAAGCUGCCAAGUAGAG